rnacentral:rRNA from 1 species
GGCAGACGGGUGAGUAACGCGUGGGAAUCUACCCAUCUCUACGGAACAACUCCGGGAAACUGGAGCUAAUACCGUAUACGUCCUUUUUGGAGAAAGAUUUAUCGGAGAUGGAUGAGCCCGCGUUGGAUUAGCUAGUUGGUGGGGUAAUGGCCUACCAAGGCGACGAUCCAUAGCUGGUCUGAGAGGAUGAUCAGCCACACUGGGACUGAGACACGGCCCAGACUCCUACGGGAGGCAGCAGUGGGGAAUAUUGGACAAUGGGCGCAAGCCUGAUCCAGCCAUGCCGCGUGAGUGAUGAAGGCCCUAGGGUUGUAAAGCUCUUUCACCGGUGAAGAUAAUGACGGUAACCGGAGAAGAAGCCCCGGCUAACUUCGUGCCAGCAGCCGCGG